GUAGGGCUCACUGUUGGGCUUGGGUGUUUUAAAAUGCUCUCCAAGUGGUCCUGGUAAUCACCCUAGGUGAAGACAAUUACAUAUAUAGAUUUUAUAUCCAGAGGUAACUAGAAAUUGCAGCCUUAGAGACAGGAAAGAUUGGGUGAGACAAGCUAAAUAAAUUCCACAAUGGCGGAAUUUCGGUUUGCGUAGUAAAAUGGAAUCUGCCUGCUUUCCUAACACCCACCUCCUGGAGUGAAGGGGACGGAUGGGGGUUGCUGUGGCACACAUGUGGCAGGCUCAACGGGACCUAACAUGGGGCUUUCAGAAACCUGAGGGACCUGCCACGUGACUCGCAGGGGAGGGAGGUUUUAGGAGCUCUUUCCAAAAUUUCCUCAGAGACGUAUCCUGCCUCUGCCCUCCAGGGGAAGCAGUGUUCACAGAGCAACUUCGAGUGUCUCCUUCCUGCGCUGCUCUCCUCUCACUGCCUCUGGCUAACGACCAAGGCAGAAAAGGGGUUUGUGCAGGGAGCGGCCGCGUGCUCCCUCCAGCACUCCACCAAGCCAGCAGUCCUACAAGACGCUCCCGACCUUGGGGACCUCUGCAGCCCGAUGCACUGGCAAUGCAAAUACCGCACAGAUAAGGAAAAAAUGAAAACCCAAAGCAGACAGUUGGACCAAGGAGCCCAGCCCGCAGCACUGUCCCAGGUAAGCAGCACGCGGCUUCAAGCGACACCCCGCGGAGGAGCUCGUUAG
rnacentral:lncRNA from 1 species